UUCUCAAAGUCAUUGGGGGCUCCCUCUGCCCGUCUUCCCAGCUCCCAGCGCCAAGCGAAGGAUCCCGCCCAACCUCUCUUAUUGGAUUCUCUAUGUCCUAGAGGAAGGAUCCCAUUGGCUGCUGCCGUUGUCUGUAUUAACGGUUCCUCGCGCCAGUCUGUAGUUCCGCCCCGGCCGCGCUGAACAGUCACCUGACCUUAAUCCUAGAGAGGUUGAUUGGCUAAUAGGCCCGUCCUGUAACGGUUCAUCUCGCGCGGGGAGAAUAGCGAGCCCACCUUUUCAUCCUUUUCAUUGGUCUGUAACCCCUCCCCUUGGCCUCUAAUUGGAAAGUGGAACCAUCAGUUAAGGCAAUUUUCGGAGGCGCGGCUGAAGAGAAAAUCUCGCGAGGAACUAUUCUUUCACCUCCUUCACUCUUCCUUCAUCUCGUCUGGUGUCUGAAUAGAGAAUUUAAAUCUGGUUGGGCGCCUACAAGGAACCUGAUAGGCUUCAAGGCGUGUCAAUCAAGAUGUGAAGCCUUCAAUUUCCCACCUUAAAGGGAAAGGCUCUGCGACCGAAGGAGGAGACUGAAGGUGAAGAACUGAGCGCGCGGUUGCGUGGUGACGUUGCAAGCGCCUGGGGCUUUGAGCGCGUUUGGCCGCGCCCUUGGCGCGCGGUCUCUGGGGUAUACAGGAAAAAAAGAGAAGAAGGUCUGGAAGAAGGCCUUGGAGGAAACCCACAGAAAAUGGUUAUUAUCUGGAGGGAGAUCCAGGAAAGGAGACUGAGAGUCAUCAUACAGCUUAUGAGGGGCACCCUAGGAAAUCCUGUGCCCCAGCUGCUCCUUCACCAGUCAGGCCACCUGCUCAUCCACACCUCUGUGAACUGACCUCUGUCAUCUGGAGCCAGUCUAGAUCAUUAACAAGAGAAACAUCAAGCCCUGAUCUAUAGUGCAGAUUUCCAAGGUGUUGAUAAUUUUAACAACCAGCUGUCAGAGGUGCCACUUCUCUACGGAUGGGAGAAAGGG
rnacentral:lncRNA from 1 species